UAUCACCUACGGGAGGCAGCAGUGGGGAAUAUUGCACAAUGGGGGAAACCCUGAUGCAGCAACGCCGCGUGAGUGAAGAAGUAUUUCGGUAUGUAAAGCUCUAUCAGCAGGGAAGAAAAUGACGGUACCUGAGUAAGAAGCCCCGGCUAACUACGUGCCAGCAGCCGCGGUAAUACGUUGGGGGCAAGCGUUAUCCGGAUUUACUGGGUGUAAAGGGAGCGUAGACGGCAGCGCAAGUCUGGAGUGAAAUGCCGGGGCUCAACCCCGGAACUGCUUUGGAAACUGUGCAGCUAGAGUGCGGGAGG
rnacentral:rRNA from 1 species